rnacentral:lncRNA from 1 species
UGUGACGCGCCUUCAACCAAGAGAGCGGCAAUGUGAGCAUCACCGGUGGUCGAAUAGUUAUCUCGUAGCGCCUUUUGUAAAUGAAGUCAAAUAUCGAUGGCUGCACGCAAAUAAAAGCAUAUUUAUCUCUAAUUGCAACGUUGCAGACUUCCGCUCAUGUUUUACUUUUAAUCAGUUUGUCUUAAAAGCUAUACUCAGUUUUUUUUUUUUUUUUUUUUUUUAAGUUUCUGCGAGGUUUUUUGAAUUAUUUAAAUGUAAUCACAGAAGAUUGUGAGGCGAUAUUUUGGUUCAUUCUUCUUUCUUCGUAUUAAAAAAAAAAAAAAAAAAAAAAAAAAAAAAUUAAACAUAGUCCGAUGCUCUGAAACAUUGCAAUUAAGAUACACCUUUUUCCUUAUCUUAUGAUAAAAAUGAGAAGAGAGUGAAGAGCAAUAACACGUAGUCUAGGAGAAGUCAAUACUCUUCUGUGCUUUUUGGCAGUUUUCUCGCGGCUUACGAAAAGUGUGGAAACAGCGACGGUAAAACUAAGGGAGGCUGCUACAAAAUUCAAAUUUGAAGCAUAACGAUCGCGAUUUUCUCUCUACCUCGGGAAAAUCAACAAUUCGAGGGCAUCUCACGAAAGCGGCGACCCUAGUUCGCCGAGAACCGGACGCCAUAAAAGGCGAAUGGACUUGAUGGAACAUGUUUUACUUUAAUUUUAACAUUUGCCGUGUGCGAGAUGCCGGGCGCUUUUUGCGUCCAUUUGGGCCGAGAUCGAGGGCGAGUUGGCCGAGUAAAACUGACCAAUUCGUGUUUGUGCUCACAGUGGGGCCCCCAAGUGAAGAACGAGCACCUGAUCUACGUGGCGGCAACAAAUGACCCUUGCAUUCUGACAGGCUGGUCAGCCAAUGAUGAGCAGUGGCAGUUAGUUGGGGAAAAUGAGACAUCCGAGCCCGCGACACCUAACAAUCUUUGCAAGUCAGCACUGAAGAGCUUUACAGGGAUUCAUUGGUCCGAGCAAGGUGACUGCGCUAAUCCAAUCGGAGCAAAGUGCAAGGACCAAAAGUGCGUCCUUACCGUGCCGAGUAAUAGUAAGCAUUGCUACGGCAGCAAAGCGUGUACCGUGCAUUUCAAGAAGUGUGCCAAGACAGUCCUCGACACACACAAGCAGUUCCUCGAGAAGGAGAAAAAGCGCCUGGAGGAAACCAAUGCCCCCAAGCUCACGGGCCCGUGCAACUGUCCGCACUGCCGGCAUUGCCCCUUGCGGAUCUACGGUUGUCCCUUCUGUCCUCAUUUUCCGAAGAAAGUCGACCCCCUGGAGAUGCAAGGGGAAGACAACUACCCAAAAUUGCGUGAGCAAAUGGAAAAACUGAAACUUCCGUGCGGAGUGCCGAAGCCAAUAAGCCAACUGCGGCGCCCAGCCUCUGAGCCUCCCUUGAACAACCAACCCGUGUAUCCCUAUUUUACGGGCGGUCCCGGUCCCGCUUCUCUGUCGAAAACGUACUCCACUCAAACGAGGGCCACCAACAGAGGAAAACAAAGUCUGCAAACCUCCUAUUCUGCGCCAGGGACUAAGUACAAUUAUGGGUCCAAUUAUGCGUCAUCGUCCACUCCUUCCAGUUAAUCAAAGUCGCCUUUAUUUUAAGGAUCAUCCUUAAAGGAUACGUGCAUGGAGCACAUUAAAGUUGAUAUGUCUGUGUGCUGGAGCGCCGAUGAAGUCACGUUUUAUAGUUGUUGCCGGGAAGCUUUUUCAAUCAAAAUUAGUCAAUUAAUCCGAAAUGAAGCGUCAUAAAUCGUCAAUUAUAAAAACCUGGACCAUAUUUGCAAGCAACUACAUAUAAUUGUAAAAUGUAUAGUAAUUGAAUAUUUGUUAAGUCUCACGAAUAUGUAUUUUAUUGUAUUUACGUUUAUCGACGGUGUAAGUCGGAAAUCACAUAACACUCUCUAUUCUCUAUACUCCUGCUGUGCUAAGGGAAAUACCCUUGUGAGGCCAUGAGCUAUUAGAAGUUGCCACAUUUCCUUUGAGUAAACCCGUAUUUUCAAGGAGAAUUUUGAAUAUUUUUCUUUUAAUCUUUCAGGGAGUUUCAUUCGAAGUUAAAUUUAAAGUAUCUGAAAAUUUCACAGGAAAACAUUACGAACUUGCCCACAAAAAAAUAAAUAUUUUAUCCGGGGACCUGUGGUAACGUUCGAAUAUGUUCCCACGUCGUUUUUCAGUAUAUCGGCCAGCACUGCUCGAUUAUGUGGAUGUAUUACUGCCAAACGGAACUAUGUACAUUAUAACUUGAGCCCUGUUAUGCAUACAUUCUUAUGGGUUUCGGGGCUCAUGCCUUAAUGCACAUAGUUCCGUUUGACAGAAGUACGUCCAUGUAACCGUACUCUCGGGUCAUUGCAACCGAGCUUUCAACCCAAACGGUAUACUAUAGAAAAAGCCCAUUUGCAUAAAUCGAGGA